UAGAUAAGGGUUGAAAAGAUCCUAAAGAAGAGAAUUUAGAAGUCAAGAGAAAGUUCUAAGAGGAUCGAGUUAGGUUCUUGGAGAAAUCUGACCGAUACGAGAGUAGUCGAGUUUUAGGAGCUAGAACUCUUGAAGCAAGGUGAAGGAGGAGCACUGUCUUGGUCCGAUUUUCAUGUGGAUCACCAUUGGAGGGUGGACACUUGGAUACCUCAUAGAAAUUUGAAUUAAUGCUAUAGGUAUUAUUUUUAUUCAAAUUUAUAUUAAUUAUACUUUGAUUGGUAUAGUCAAAGAUUUUUGGGCACUAAGAUUUUUGGUGCGUCAGAUGUUUUGAAUGAAAAUUUUAAACACCUAGCCCUUCCGCUAUGCCACCGAAACCCAACAGUGAGUAUCACGAGUAGGUA
rnacentral:lncRNA from 1 species